UACAUAAAGGUGUAUGAUGCACAUUAGUUUUUGAUACUAAAAGGCACAGUUUAAUUCUGUUUUAUGUAA
rnacentral:tRNA from 1 species